CCGGUCAGGUGUAUCCUCCGGACACUCAGUGCCAGUAUAUUCAGGGUGCGGGUUCUGCCCUUUACCGGGGCUAUUACAACUAUAAUUAUAGCAGCAUUUGUACUUUGUUGGCCUGUAUUAUUCCGGGCACAGGCGGUUAUUCUUACCAUUUGGCUUGGGAGGGAACGACAUGCGGAAGCGGAAAAAUAUGCAUGGCCGGGCAAUGUAUGGCAUCAGCAUCGGGUCCGUCCAUUACUGACGAGUCAUGCGCAUUCGGCAACACUCCUGGUAACCUCCUCCGGACCCCGGUAACCACCUGUGCCGCCAUUGUCGGGAGCACAACGACCUCCUACAACUGCUACCAAGACUAUUAUAGGGGGCAAUGCUGUGCAACGUGCGAGCAGUACCGCCUCGAAUACAUCAAUA